rnacentral:rRNA from 1 species
GAUGAACGCUGGCGGCGUGCCUAAUACAUGCAAGUCGAGCGAACAGAUAAGGAGCUUGCUCCUUUGACGUUAGCGGCGGACGGGUGAGUAACACGUGGAUAACCUACCUAUAAGACUGGGAUAACUUCGGGAAACCGGAGCUAAUACCGGAUAACAUAUUGAACCGCAUGGUUCAAUAGUGAAAGGCGGCUUUGCUGUCACUUAUAGAUGGAUCCGCGCCGUAUUAGCUAGUUGGUAAGGUAACGGCUUACCAAGGCAACGAUACGUAGCCGACCUGAGAGGGUGAUAGGCCACACUGGAACGGAGACGCGGUCCAGACUCCUACGGGAGGCAGCAGUAGGGAAUCUUCCGCAAUGGGCGAAAGCCUGACGGAGCAACGCCGCGUGAGUGAUGAAGGUCUUCGGAUCGUAAAACUCUGUUAUCAGGGAAGAACAAAUGUGUAAGUAACUGUGCACAUCUUGACGGUACCUGAUCAGAAAGCCACGGUUAACUACGUG